GUCAGAGCGCUAGGUCAGGCGUCUGGGGGAUGUGGGACAGCAACCUGCUGUAGUUACACUACCUUUUAAAAUAUUUUUGCCCCCUAUGCUAGAUAUUUUUUAUACCUUUGAUUUAGAAGUACAAGAAAAAAUAAAUAAGAAGAGGCAUGAUUAUCAUAUAUAUAUAUAGUGCCUUGAGAGAAGUACAACCAGUGCUAGAGUCCCAUUCUGUUUUCUUUAUAUAAUGUUAAGUGACUUUCAGUGAAAGCACAUCUAUGGCUUAAAUUUCUUUUGGUUAAAUUAUAUGUAGGACUAGGAUUGUCAAAAAACAAACUACCAUACCAAAAUCAAUACUCAGCACCUAAUUGUUGCUAAAAAAUUACUAGCAGAGCAAGCACCAGCAGCUGUCCUCGACUCCUCCAGCUGACACAAAGAUGCUGCAGACAGGCAGGCGCGCUGCCCCCUCCUCUCACUGGCAGUAGCUGACCUUCACAAUGCUGAACAACACUUCAUGAGGAAUUUUGAGAGGAUGAGGAGAGGGGUGUUGCUCGACUUGACUAUAAAAUGCGUACAUAUUUAUGAGCAGAUGCCACGACACCGCAGUGAAGCCUGGGUAUUCUAGUUUUGUUGGGAAGCCCAUAUGGUCUUGACUAAUAACUGACUCCUGCACAAUACUGUGAGCUUCAGUGACUGACAGAGGGCCAAAACCGCUCCAGUGUUCCAGAUGGUGGACCUCAAACGCCUGCGUAUUAUUCCAAAUGGCAACAAACUAAAGAAAUAACCGCAGCACCAGUCACAAGAGCCCUCAGGAGUUUAAUUUUGUUUUAAUUAAUACUUUGGAAUUUUUUGGAAAUAUUCUGUUUGCUUGCUUGCUAAGAAAAUGAACAUCACUACAAUACAUGACUACACUAAACCUUUCUCGUCACCAGACAGCAAAGCAUGCUAAAAUGGUCUUUAGACUGCCAGCUACAGUUAUUGGAAAAAGAAAGUACACCCUCUGUUGAUUUUAAUUUUUGAUAUAUUAUAAGAAUAAAAGAGUCCUUAGAAGGUCAUGUAAAUACAAGCUGAGGUAACCAAGGUGGUAUAUUACAUUGUGUCAUUAUUUAUUUAAUAAAAGUU